UACGUAGGGCGCAAGCGUUGUCCGGAAUUAUUGGGCGUAAAGAGCUCGUAGGCGGUUUGUCGCGUCGGCUGUGAAAACUCGGGGCUCAACCCCGAGCCUGCAGUCGAUACGGGCAAACUAGAGUGUGGUAGGGGAGACUGGAAUUCCUGGUGUAGCGGUGAAAUGCGUAGAUAUCGGGAGGAACACCGGUGGCGAAGGCGGCCUUCUGGACGGAUACUGACGCUGAGACGCGAAAGCGUGGGGAGCAAACAGG
rnacentral:rRNA from 1 species